rnacentral:rRNA from 1 species
AUUGAACGCUGGCGGCAGGCCUAACACAUGCAAGUCGAGCGAGUGGCGGACGGGUGAGUAAUGUAUGGGAAACUGCCCGAUAGAGGGGGAUAACUACUGGAAACGGUGGCUAAUACCGCAUACCAUCGGAUGAACCCAUAUGGGAUUAGCUAGUAGGUGGGGUAAAGGCUCACCUAGGCGACGAUCCCUAGCUGGUCUGAGAGGAUGAUCAGCCACACUGGAACUGAGACACGGCCCAGACUCCUACGGGAGGCAGCAGUGGGGAAUAUUGCACAAUGGGCGCAAGCCUGAUGCAGCCAUGCCGCGUGUAUGAAGAAGGCCUUAGGGUUGUAAAGUACUUUCAGCGGGGAGGCGUUACCCGCAGAAGAAGCACCGGCUAACUCCGUGCCAGCAGCCGCGGUAAUAC